rnacentral:rRNA from 1 species
AUUGAACGCUGGCGGCAGGCCUAACACAUGCAAGUCGAACGAGUGGCGGACGGGUGAGUAAGGUCUGGGAAACUGCCUGCAGGAGGGGGAUAACUACUGGAAAAGGUAGCUAAUACCGCAUACCAUCAGAUGUGCCCAGAUGGGAGUAGCUAGUUGGUGGGGUAACGGUUCAACAAGGCGACGAUCCCUAGCUGGUCUGAGCGGAUGACCGGACACGCUGGAACUGAGACACGGUCCAGACUCCUACGGGAGGCAGCAGGGGGGAAUAUUGCACAAUGGGCGCAAGCCUGAUGCAGCCAUGCGGCGUGUAUGAAGAAGGCCUUCGGGUUGUAAAGUACUUUCAUCGGGGAGGCGUUACCCGCAGAAGAAGCACCGGCUAACUCCGUGCCAGCAGCCGCGGUAAUAC